CCUACGGGAGGCAGCAGUAGGGAAUCUUCCGCAAUGGACGAAAGUCUGACGGAGCAACGCCGCGUGAACGAUGAAGGCCUUCGGGUCGUAAAGUUCUGUUGUUAGGGAAGAACAAGUGCUAGUUGAAUAAGCUGGCACCUUGACGGUACCUAACCAGAAAGCCACGGCUAACUACGUGCCAGCAGCCGCGGUAAUACGUAGGUGGCAAGCGUUGUCCGGAAUUAUUGGGCGUAAAGCGCGCGCAGGCGGUUUCUUAAGUCUGAUGUGAAAGCCCCCGGCUCAACCGGGGAGGGUCAUUGGAAACUGGGAAACUUGAGUGCAGAAGAGGAAAGUGGAAUUCCAAGUGUAGCGGUGAAAUGCGUAGAGAUUUGGAGGAACACCAGUGGCGAAGGCGACUUUCUGGUCUGUAACUGACGCUGAGGCGCGAAAGCGUGGGGAGCAAACAGGAUUAGAUACCCUGGUAGUCCACGCUGUAAACGAUGAGUGCUAAGUGUUAGAGGGUUUCCGCCCUUUAGUGCUGAAGUUAACGCAUUAAGCACUCCGCCUGGGGAGUACGGUCGCAAGACUGAAACUCAAAUGAAUUGACGG
rnacentral:rRNA from 1 species